AAGCUUCAAAGGCAGGAAAUCUGCAACGAAAGAGGAAGUGUGACUCGGUAUUUGGCAUGCAAGUUUGGUAUUUUUACUUUUUUGUACAAUACUAUAUAUAUUUGAAAACCAUCCUUCAUCACUUUUUCCAAUCAAGGUUAAGAAAGAAGCGUAAGAAAAAAAAGUGUAAAAACAAUUUUACUACUGACUUUACAGAAAGAUUACAGACCAAGAUACGUUGUUGGAGCGUAGGAAAAUAUAAAAACCAAACCACAUGAGUUAGAAUAAGGUGGUAGGAGAGAAAUGCUUUAAAGCUAGGAAAGGAAGAUACCAAAACCUUCCCACGAAUUAGAGAUAAAGAACCAGUUUUUUGUGUAGUUCCCUACCUGACCAAGCUUUUGCCAACCCCAACUCCUCCUUCUCAAACCAAACAUAAAACUCACAAAUAACCCCACAUGGGUUGAUUUUUGGCUUCCAUUGAUCAACCUACCUAAAUGCCGUCGUCCCACCGCGACCAUGGCCAGGCGGCCGAGUACCAGAACCAGAACCAGAACCAGCACCACCCCCACCACUACAGAAGAAAAUUGGUAAACACUCAUCAUGACCGCAACACACACCCUUUGAUCUGGCUGGCGGCAAUUCUCUGCACGAUCAUAGCCAUAGGUGUUGUAGUAGCAGGCAUAGUGGUUUUCG
rnacentral:lncRNA from 1 species